rnacentral:rRNA from 1 species
GACGAACGCUGGCGGCAUGCUUAAUACAUGCAAGUCGGACGGGAAGUGGUGUUUUCAGUGGUGGCCGGGGGAGUAAGGAGUCAGAACCUGCUCUCGGGGGGGGAACAACAGCAGGAAACGGCCGCUACUACUCCGUAGGACGAGGAGCAAAAGCCGGAAGGCGGCCGCGGGUGGGUGUGCGUCUGGUCAGGCAGUUGGUGGGGUAACGGCCUACCAAGGCAAUGACGGGUCGCUGGUCUGUGAGGACGACCAGCCAGACUGGGACUGGGACACGGCCCAGACUCCUACGGGAGGCAGCAGCAAGGAAGUUUCGGCAAUGGGCGCAAGCCUGACCGAGCAACGCCGCGUGCAGGAAGACGGCCUUAGGGUUGUAAACUGCUUUUGCUAGGGAUGAUAACAGACAGUACCUGGCGAAUCAGCCCCGGCUAACUCGGUG